AUGGGAGGAAGACAUACCAUUUUGGACUCGGUAGUCACCCAGCUUUCUCUUUACCACAUGUCCAUGUGGCUGAUUAAUAAGACGUUUGUGGAAAAAUUAGAUAAACAUAGGAGGAGGUUUUUCUGGCAGGGCGCCAAUAAAAAACGUCGCUACCAUCUGGUUCAUUGGAGCAGAAUCUGUAGGUCCAAGGAUAAAGGUGGGAUGGGUAUUAAAGACUUGCGCAAACAAAAUAUCAGUUUGAUGCUUAAGUGGUGGUGGAAAUUAUAUACCCAGCAGGGGAUUUGGCAAGAUAUUGUGAAAGCUCGAUAUCUUAGAAAGUAG
rnacentral:rRNA from 1 species